rnacentral:rRNA from 1 species
AUUGAACGCUGGCGGCAGGCCUAACACAUGCAAGUCGAACGAGUGGCGGACGGGUGAGUAAUGUCUGGGAAACUGCCUGAUGGAGGGGGAUACCUACUGGAAACGGUAGCUAAUACCGCAUACCAUCGGAUGUGCCCCGAUGGGAUUAGCUAGUAGUUGGGGUAACGGCUCACCUAGGCGACGCUCCCUAGCUGGUCUGAGAGGAUGACCAGCCACACAGGAACUGAGACACGGUCCAGACUCCUACGGGAGGAAGCAGUGGGGAAUAUUGCACAAUGGGCUCAAGCCGGAUGCAGCCAUGCCGAGUGUAUGAAGAAGGCCUUCGGGUUGUAAAGUCCUUUCAACGGAGAGGCGUUACCCGCAGAAGAAGCACCGGCUAACUACGUGCCAGCAGCCGCGGUAAUAC